rnacentral:rRNA from 1 species
CGUGUAGGCGGUUGAACAAGUCAGAUGUGAAAGCCCUCGGCUCAACCGAGGAAGUGCAUUUGAAACUGUUCAGCUUGAGUACGGGAGAGGAGAGCGGAAUUCCCGGUGUAGAGGUGAAAUUCGUAGAUAUCGGGAGGAACACCGGUGGCGAAGGCGGUUCUCUGGCCCGAUACUGACGCUGAGACGCGAAAGCGUGGGGAGCAAACAGGAUUAGAUACCCUGGUAGUCC